ACCACGUGGAGCGGUGUAUAUCAUAUUGGUGUUGUAUGGACGCAAGAUGCUCAUUAUCACACAUACAUAUAUUGUGUUACCCAGUGAGGAGAGGGGGACGUCUCAAUGCACUGUGCAAACAUCCUACUUGCUAUAUACCCAUCAAAAACAGGUGUUGUCUAUCACAAGACUGGCGGGAUUAUGGAAACGCACUCAUUAUUAUUUUCUCUGAAGAGCAGCUCUUGAGUAAAGAAAGAUGAUGAGAAUAUUUGGACAGGUCUUAUGUAAGAGAGGUUUUCGUAUCCUAGAAUUGUAUAGGCGUCAUGUAUCCGACUGCACAGUCACGUGGACACAACAAGCGUCCAUAUGUCAAGAAGAGCAACGCCUUCACCUGAAUGAGCCUCUCUCACAGAUGCCCUAACUACGUCGACCGGCCAUGGCUGUAAUAUUUACUAUUGAUUGACACACUAUGAGGUGUUCAAUCUGAAAAUCAACUAUUCGGCACAUACACGUAGUUCUAACCUGACCAUCCGUAUGCGAAUGGGAUUCUGUAUGAAAAUGCGUGUUGGAGAUGUAGGCUAUUUCUAAAGGAACCUUCAACUAUUCUGAACAUCAGCACAGAAGGAGCUUUUACACUGUGAACAAUCAACCAGCACAGCCAUGGCCUCCCUCGGUGGUCUGUUGCCAAGGGGAACAGUCCUUGCUGAAUGAUAGAAAUAUAGAGUUAAGGAAAGACGGAGAGACAGAGCAGCCUUGAGGUACAGAAGAAGAGAUGGUCGUCACCGACAGGAGUUCGAGCACUCCUGUGCCCAAGAAGCAGGAACCAAAGAAGAAGAAGAGGAAGUCCCGCCCCCAUGGCCUGCCCUCCCCAGCGUUGUGCUGUGCAUGCGGCCUGUGCAUCAUGCUGGCAGGCAUCAACAUCACCCUGGUGGGGGCAUUCGCCUUCAGCACCUUGGUGCCCUCUGCCAACCCUCCCAUCAUCAUAGGGCCCAUCCUGCUCCUGGUGGCCUUCUCUUUCUUCGGAGCGUGCUGUGUCUGCAGCCGCCUGCCCCCCGCCCAGGGCUCCCGGAGAUCGAAGGUGGGCGGGAGGAGCAUGGGGAUGAUGGGGCGGGGAGGUUUAGCUGGGGGAGCGACGUUUGAGAUCGAGACAAGUGAGCACACUUUGCAGGACACCACGGCAGUACAGCUCAGCCCCUCGGCCUCACCGGGGUCAUCACGGGCGUCCAGCCCCGAACGGGAUGCUCCUGACCCCGCCCCCCCAGGGACCUGCAAGCUCUUCACCAUGGAGACCAAUGGCCCCACCUCCACCACGGCCUACUACUCUGCCGCCUCGGCCGGAGGAGGGGCUGUGAGGCUCAACCUGCCACGUGAUGAUAUGGCCACCUAGCACAGCCCUGACUUACGCACUGAAGCAAGAGCUUCAUGCCCCAGGGGACUGAUGCAAAACUAUGUAAAUAUGAACUAGGAUUGAUGAUAUACAGACAGUGUUUCAGUGUGUCUAGCCAUUUUGUGUAGUGCCAUUUUUCAUGUUUAUGACAAGCUAUCAGAGUUUUAUUGCAUUUGCUUUUGUUUUUUCCAACAGCCAAACAGUAAUUAGCAUGCAAUUCAACGUUGAAGGAACGUGGGUGACGGUUUCGUUGGAAUUGAUGUUCCUACCUCCUCAGAACUGUUCUCUUUAGAAUCCUCUCUUAACAUGCAUGGGGCAUUAUUAUAAGCAGUUUCUAACCAGAAAGCAAAAUGAGGGAAUUGAAGCGUUUUCUCUCUGGCAUUUCUGAGGGGUAAAACAAAGUGAUGUGUCCCAUUUCUUUGACCGUCUGGACCUCAGUGAUGGACAUUUCAGCCGAUUACUCUGACGCAACUUUGUUGUUGUUGCCAGAACUGAAAGGUUUGACACGAAAUGGCAAUGAGUUUAAUGCUAUCAUUUAAAUACUUAGUGAUGUUUGACAUUACAGUAUGUGCUGCUUUGGUCUUAAAUUAGAUUCAAAGAUGGGGUCGCAAGAUUCCUUUGCAAUAUAAUCUCAACUGAAAGGAUCAGCAACAGAGGACUAAUAUUAAUUUUUCCUCAAUUGUUUCUACAGACAAAACAUUAUGGAUGAUAUGCAGUGUACAUCAGUGGCCUGCGGGCCAAAACUGGGUCGCAAGUGAUUCGUUUUUUGGAAUCAGAAUUUUUACUACAAACAUAGAAAUGCGCCAUUUUCCCAUACAGUGGCAAGAAAAUCCUUUGGCAUUACCUGGAUUUCUGCAUAAAUUGGUCAUAAAAGCCACAACAAUAAACAAACAGUCUGCUUAAACUCAUAAACAAUUAUACGUACUCAUGUCUUUAUUGAAUACCCUGUGUAAUAAUUUUUUUAUACCUUUUAUUUAACUAGGCAAGUCAGUUAAGAACAAAUUCUUAUUUUUAAUGACAGCCUAGGAACAGUGGGUUAACUGCCUGUUCAGGGGCAGAACAACAGAUUUGUACCUUGUCAGCUCAGGGGUUUGAAUUUGCAACCUUCCGGUUACUAGUCCAACGCUCUAACCACUAGGCUAAGCUAACCACUUUAUGAAACUGUUUCAGUUCAGCAAUAUUCUUGGGAUGUCUGGUGUGAUCUGCUCGAUGUCAUGCCACACCAUUUUAAAUCAGCUUGAGGUCAGGACUCUGACUGGGCCACUUAAUUAAGGUAUAUUUUCUUCUGUUGAAACCAUUCUGUUGUUGAUUUACUUCUGUCUUUUGGGUUGUUGUCCUGUUGCAUCAUCCAACUUCGGUUGAGCUUCAAUUGGGGGACAGAGAGCCUUACAUUCUCCUGCAAAAUGUAUUGAUAAACUUGGGAGUUCAUUUUUCCGUCGACGAUAGCAAGCUGUCCAGGCCCUGAGGCAGCAAAGCAGCCCCAAACCAUGAUGCUCCCUCCACCAUACUUUACAGUUGGGAUGAGGUUUUGGUGUUGGUGUGCUGUGCCUUUUUUUUUCUCCACAGUUGUGUGUUCCUUCUAAACAACUCAACUGUUUCAUCUGUCCACAGAAUAUUUUGCCAGAAGCGCUGUGGAACAUCCAGGUGUUCUUUUGCGAACUUCAGACAUGCAGCAAUUAUUUUUUUGGACAGCAGUGGCUUCUUCCGUGGUGUCCUCCCAUGAACAACGUUCUUGUUUGGUGUUUUACAUUUCUUAGACUCAUCAACAGAGAUGGCAUGUUCCAGAGAAUUCUGUAAGUCUUUAGCUGACACUAGGAUUCUUCUUAACCUCAUUGAGCAUUCUGCACUGUGCUUUUGCAGUCAUCUUUGCAGGGCAGCCACUCCUAGGGAGACUAGCAAGAGUGCAGAAAUUUGUCUUACCGUGGACUGAUUUUAGAGAAUUUUGUAACCCUUUCCAGCUUUUUGCAAGUCAACAAUUCUUAAUCUUAGGUCUUCUGAGAUCUCUUUUGUUUGAGGCAUGAUUCACGUCAGGCAAUGCUUCUUGUGAGUAGAAAACUCACAAAAUGUGAGGUUUUUUUUAUAGGGCAGGGCAGCUCUAACCAACAUCUCCAAUCUGUCUCAUAGGUUAGCUGACUCCUGACUCCAAUUUAGCUUUUGGAAAUGUCAUUUGCCGAGGGGUUCACAUACUGUUCCCAACCUACACUGUGAAUGUUUGAAUUAUGUAUUCAAUAUAUGUUGUGUGUUAUUAGUUUAAUCACUCUGUGUUUGUCCCUUGUCUAUGAAGAUCAGAUCAAAUUUUAUGACUAAUUUAUGCUGAAAUCCAGGUAAUUCCAAAAGGUUCACUUACUUUUACUUUUUCUUGCCACUAUGAUGAUGUUGGGGUAGUGCUGGACAUGAUUUCAUAUGAAUUCGAAAAUGUUUGACAUGUUCCGUUAGGUAUAGCCCUAUGUCUAACAUGGACAUCACACCAAGAUCCAAACUGCUUUAAUAUUGAUUCAGAAGAUUGAACAUGCUUUGAUUUUCGAUACAGAAUAAACAACGUCUUUCUUGAACUGCAUUGUUGGUUAAGGGCUUGUAAGUAGCAUUUCACGGUAAGGUUGUAUUUGGCGCAUGUGACAAAAAGUUUGAUUUGAACUAGAGUUUACCAUGUCCCAGCCAAGUAUUUUGUCAUAGCCUAAUAUUUGUAUUUUAUGUGAGGAAAGUCAACUCCCCCCUACAGGGAGUGGGCUUGUUGUAAAUGUGUGUAGUGUCAAGAUGUAUGUAAACUAUCAAUGUUGGCCAUGUAUUUCAAAAUGUAUUCUGGUUUGAUAACAUCUUUUAACAAUGUAUUUUUUUGAAAAUUAAAUUGACUUAAUUUGAUAACAAUACAUGUGAUACUACUAAAAAUAUAAAUAAAAUACAUGCUCAUAUAAAA
ensembl:lncRNA